rnacentral:rRNA from 1 species
UACGAAGGGGGCUAGCGUUGCUCGGAAUCACUGGGCGUAAAGCGCACGUAGGCGGACUCUUAAGUCGGUGGUGAAAUCCUGGAGCUCAACUCCAGAACUGCCUUUGAUACUGGAGAGCUUGAGUCCGGAAGAGGUGAGUGGAACUCCGAGUGUAGAGGUGAAAUUCGUAGAUAUUCGGAAGAACACCAGUGGCGAAGGCGGCUCACUGGUCCGGUACUGGACGCUGAGGUGCGAAAGCGUGGGGAGCAAACAGGG